GUGGGUUUAGCUCUAUGGUAAAGUGCAUGCUUAGCAAAUGCAUGAGGUCCUGGGUUUAAUCCCCAGUACCUCCA
rnacentral:tRNA from 1 species